CAGUCGCCACGGGAAUACGAAGGGGGCUAGCGUUGUUCGGAUUUACUGGGCGUAAAGGGCGCGUAGGCGGACUGAUAAGUCAGGGGUGAAAUCCCAAGGCUCAACCUUGGAACUGCCUUUGAUACUGUUUGUCUUGAGUUCGAGAGAGGUAAGUGGAACUGCGAGUGUAGAGGUGAAAUUCGUAGAUAUUCGCAAGAACACCAGUGGCGAAGGCGGUUUACUGGCUCGAAACUGACGCUGAGGCACGAAAGCGUGGGGAGCAAACAGGAUUAGAUACCCCCGUAGUCCCUGUCUCUUAUAC
rnacentral:rRNA from 1 species